rnacentral:lncRNA from 1 species
AAAUAUGACGGUGUUUGGCUAAACGCACUAAGUAAUCUAGUUGGUAAUAUUGGAUUCACUUGGGAAUAAGAUUUACCAAAGUACUAAUCUUAUUUCCUUGAAGGAGGAUGGGUAUCAUCAUAUUAAUGGAUUUGGCUAAUCAUAAUAUGUCUAAUCUCUUUCUUUCUCCCACCCGCCGGUUAAUUGAUAUUUUUUUUCUUAACACUCUAACCUCAUACCUCUCUCUAAAUUUAUCUUUCUCUCUAAAAUUUAACUUUUUUUUCUUUCUCUAAACUAACUUUUUUCUCUCUCUU